GCUGGGCACGUUGGCACAUGCCUGUAAUCCCAUCAGCUCAGGAGGCUAAGGCAGGAGAAUCAUGAGUUCAAAGCCAGCUUUAGCAAAAGCAAAGUGCUAAGCAACUCAGUGAGACCCUAUCUCUC
rnacentral:sRNA from 1 species